rnacentral:rRNA from 1 species
GACGAACGCUGGCGGCGUGCUUAACACAUGCAAGUCGAACGAUGAAGAAGAGAAACGCGAACUUCGGUUCAAAUUUCACUUCGGAUUAGUGGCAGACGGGUGAGUAACGCGUGAGCAACCUACCUCUUACAAAGGGAUAGCCUCGGGAAACCGUGAUUAAUACCAUAUGACACAUUCAUAAGGCAUCUUAAGAAUGUUAAAGCUACGGCGGUAAGAGAUGGGCUCGCGUCCCAUUAGCUAGUUGGUGAGGUAACGGCCCACCAAGGCGACGAUGGGUAACCGGCCUGAGAGGGGGAACGGCCACAUUGGACCUGCGACACGGUCCAAACUCCUACGGGAGGCAGCAGUGGGGAAUAUGGGACAAUGGGCGAAAGCCUGAUCCAGAAAUGCCGCGUGAGGGAUGAAGGCCUUAGGGUUGUAAAGCUCUUUUACCCGGGAUGAAAAUGACAGUACCGGGAGAAUAAGCCCCGGCUAACUCCGU